GUAUGGUCCUGAGAACAUUAGCCUACCUACAGGUUGGCCACUUGGCCCAUCUAAGAAGACUCCUCCCUCAACAAGCUAUUCAGAAACCUCUGUUCAAGGACACGUUUGAAUGAAACCAUGUAACAUAUAGACAAACCCAGCAGGUGAAGGUGGAGCGCAAGCUUGGCUCUGAGUACCUGGGUGCUGCUGAGCACACAGCCUGCAGAAGCAGCGGAGGCAGUGCGACUGAGAGAGAGAGAGAGAGAGAGAGAGAGAGAACCAGCCCACCACCUGCAGCCUCGCACACACAGGCAUGAAGAAACACCUUCCUGGAUCACAGAUGCAAAGAGGGGGGAUUGAAUUGUGGAUGGAAAGUAUCAGACCCUUCUCAUGUGGGGUCGAGGAGGCAGAAAAGAAUGAUCCGACCCAGGGCCUCAAGCAGUGGCGCGGACGCCCCUCUUUCUCGGUCGCCACCGCCGCCGGGUCCUUUUUGCAGCUGUGCCUCCAGCACAGAGAGGCGCUCGCGUCCCCACCUGUGACAACAAACAUCUUUUAUUGCCUCCAACCAGGACGCUGACGCCAUUCAGCCCGGGAUCAGCCCGAGGACAGAAGAACCAUUCCCCAUCAUCGUUCGUUCAAACCCCGCUCAAAAACACACACACACAAACACGU
ensembl:lncRNA